rnacentral:rRNA from 1 species
AUUGAACGCUGGCGGAAUGCUUUACACAUGCAAGUCGAACGGCAGCACGGGAGCUUGCUCUUGGUGGCGAGUGGCGAACGGGUGAGUAAUGCGUCGGAACGUACCGAGUAAUGGGGGAUAACGCAGCGAAAGUUGUGCUAAUACCGCAUACGCCCUCCGGGGGAAAGCAGGGGAUCUUCGGACCUUGCGUUAUUCGAGCGGCCGACGUCUGAUUAGCUAGUUGGUGUGGUAAAGGCCUACCAAGGCGACGAUCAGUAGCGGGUCUGAGAGGAUGAUCCGCCACACUGGAACUGAGACACGGUCCAGACUCCUACGGGAGGCAG